AUACUACUACUGUCUGUCUACCCAAAAUCAAAAAGGGUCCGUCAAGCGCGAGUCCCGACCAUUGCACACCCGGUCUGGGAUGACCCCUUCGAUUACCCCAAAUGCGGGUAACUCGGCUGCGUAAUUUAUGAUAGUGGGGGUCUGCGUUCGCGCUAACCCCCG
rfam:Branchiostoma floridae genomic scaffold BRAFLscaffold_38, whole genome shotgun sequence.